UGGGUUGUGGUUCAGCGAUAGAGCGCUUGCCUGGCAUGUGUGAGACACUGGGUUCAAUUCUCAGCACCACAU
rnacentral:tRNA from 1 species